rnacentral:tRNA from 1 species
GCCCGGUAAGCUCAGUUGGAAGAGCACUCUCCCUGUUAGCGAGGUGAGCCGGGUUCGAGUCCCGGACUGGCCA